GUGGGGAAUUUUGGACAAUGGGCGCAAGCCUGAUCCAGCAAUGCCGCGUGCAGGAAGAAGGCCUUCGGGUUGUAAACUGCUUUUGUACGGAACGAAACGGUCCGGGUUAAUACCCUGGGCUAAUGACGGUACCGUAAGAAUAAGCACCGGCUAACUACGUGCCAGCAGCCGCGGUAAUACGUAGGGUGCAAGCGUUAAUCGGAAUUACUGGGCGUAAAGUGUGCGCAGGCGGUUUUGUAAGACAGGCGUGAAAUCCCCGGGCUCAACCUGGGAAGUGCGAUGGUGACUGCAAGGCUGGAGUGCGGCAGAGGGGGAUGGAAUUCCGCGUGUAGCAGUGAAAAUCGUAGAUAUGCGGAGGAACACCGAUGGCGAAGGCAAUCCCCUGGGCCUGCACUGACGCUCAUGCACGAAAGCGUGGGGAGCAAACAGGAUUAGAAACCCGGGUAGUCC
rnacentral:rRNA from 1 species